ensembl:ncRNA T09B4.14 ncRNA
CCGUUCUACAUACUUCUUUACAUUCCAUAUCCAUUUAUGAUAUAGUAUGGGCAUGUAAGGAAGUAUGCAGCUCGGUACGGUCACUUUGAAUAUAGCGUAGAUAUAGAGUAGAAUUGAAUCUGGGAA